GAAGGCGAUUAGUUUAAGAGAUUAAUUGAUUGACGAUAAUCACAGAAGAAGCACCGGCUAACUCCGUGCCAGCAGCCGCGGUAAUACGGAGGGUGCGAGCGUUAAUCGGAAUGACUGGGCGUAAAGGGCACGCAGGUGGUGACUUAAGUGAGGUGUGAAAUCCCCGGGCUUAACCUGGGAACAGCAUUUCAGACUGGGUGACUAGAGUACUUUAGGGAGGGGUAGAAUUCCACGUGUAGCGGUGAAAUGCGUAGAGAUGUGGAGGAAUACCGAAGGCGAAGGCAGCCCCUUGGGAAGAUACUGACGCUCGAGUGCGAAAGCGUGGGGAGCAAACAGGAUUAGAUACCCUGGUAGUCCACGCUGUAAACGAUGUCGAUUUGGGGAUUGGGUGAACACUUGGUGCCCGA
rnacentral:rRNA from 1 species